CAAGGUGGAGAGGAGAGAAGUGACUCCCAACUUGGAUAAAAUCGAAUGAUGAGAUGGACUGGAGAGGGCUUUUGUAAACAAAUCGACAAGUUGAGCUUUCGAUGGUACGAAAGAGAGUGUUAUCAAACCUGAAAGAAAUUGUUGCCGUACGAAGUGGCAAUCGAGUUCAACAUGCUUAGUCCUCUCGUGGAAGACCGGAUCCCGAGCAAUGUGUAUAGUAUCCUUGCUAUCAGAGUGAACAGGAACAAGCAAAGAUGGAGUGAUGGAAAGAUAUUCAAGAAUAUGAGUUAACCGGGUAAGUUCUGUUGUAACCCUUCUCAUAGAUCUAUACUCCGAUUCAGCUGAGGACAAGGAAAUAGAAGUCUCACUACAAGAAAAUAUAUAUUUGGCAACAAAAUUAUUUUUGUUGCAAAAAGUACUUUUGGCAACAAUUUUUUUUUGUUGCCAAAAUUACUUUUCCCAACGGUUGUUAUUGCAACAUGCAACAACUUUUUUUUUAUUGCUAAAAGUACUUUUUGCAACAAUAACCAAUACUAUGACAACAAAAUUAAAUUCUUUGGCAACAAAAAAAAAAAUCAUUUGCCAACAAUAAACUAAGUAGUUGCCAAAUAUUAAAUUUUUUGUUGCCAUUUCUAUACUUUCUUGUAAUGCGUUUCUUCGAUUUACAAGAAAUAGGUGCUCCUCCUAAGCUUAUAAGCCACUGACAGAUUUGCGUGUGUCUUUGCAGGAUGCCCAGUCGGCAAUGCAAAAGGCAAUGAGGGAAAAUGAUGGAUCCAGUUAAAGAACAAACCUUGACCAGGAUUAACUCGUAGAUAACGCGAUACACGCAAAGCAGCCAUGAAAUGACCCAUACAAAGUUGUAGCAUAUAUUGACUCAAAGUCGAUACUGCAAUAGACAAGUCCGACCUUGUAUGGGUAAGAUAAUUGAGUUUUCCAACAACUCGUCUGUAGAUUGUUGGAUCAGCAAGUAAAGGGCCUGAUGAUGCACAAAUCUUUGAUGAAGGAUCAAGAGAAGAUGAAACUACAGUGGAAUUGGCUUGGAUUCAAAGUGAAUAUUGAAGAUAAUGCUGCUAUAGCAAGAAUAAUGUAUGAAUCUCGCCUUAUUAAUAUUAAUUUCAGUUUAUUUACGGAGAUAGAGUUAUUAAAUGAUCGUAUAAUGAAUUGUUGAUGGAGAAAUUGAAUAAACAUCGUGUGGGAUGUUUAUGGAGCAUCUUGGUGUUGAUAUUAUUGUUGUUGAUGUUGGUAUUGUCGUUAUUGUUGUUGGUUGUUGGUAUUGUGAUUUCAGGCUAGGCAUAUAAACAGGGGAGAUGCUGCCCGAAUUUCGACAGAUUCUAAAUGGAUUUAAACUGAAGGCUUAAGACGAGUAUAUGAGGAUGAGCCUAACAACAGUGUAAAUUGUUUUAUAUGUAGAUUACGAGACUACAAGCAAACUUUAGUAAAUUACAAGACAGGAAGUGAGUUGGAGAAGUAGAGAAUUGAUCUCCAAGGUAGGCAGGGAGACGGAUCAGACCCAUAGGUGCUCUAUCAGCGAAUUCUCAGGAGCACUCCACUUACUUCGGAGCUGCAGUCUAUAUGGUAUUAUCCUUAUGAUCAUUUGUAUUUUAUGUAGAGGCUCGUAGACGUGUGUGUACAAUUAGAUGUUUUAUAGCUUCACCAG